GACGAACGCUGGCGGCGUGCCUAAUACAUGCAAGUCGAACGCUGAAGGAGGAGCUUGCUCUUCUGGAUGAGUUGCGAACGGGUGAGUAACGCGUAGGUAACCUGCCUGGUAGCGGGGGAUAACUAUUGGAAACGAUAGCUAAUACCGCAUAACAGUAGAUGUUGCAUGACAUUUGCUUAAAAGGUGCAAUUGCACCACUACCAGAUGGACCUGCGUUGUAUUAGCUAGUUGGUGGGGUAACGGCUCACCAAGGCGACGAUACAUAGCCGACCUGAGAGGGGGAUCGGCCACACUGGGACUGAGACACGGCCCAGACUCCUACGGGAGGCAGCAGUAGGGAAUCUUCGGCAAUGGACGGAAGUCUGACCGAGCAACGCCGCGUGAGUGAAGAAGGUUUUCGGAUCGUAAAGCUCUGUUGUAAGAGAAGAACGAGUGUGAGAGUGGAAAGUUCACACUGUGACGGUAUCUUACCAGAAAGAGACGGCUAACUACGUG
rnacentral:rRNA from 1 species